UACGUAGGGGCAAGCGUUGUCCGGAUUUAUUGGGCGUAAAGAGCGUGUAGGCGGUCAUGUAGGUCCGUUGUGAAAACUCGAGCUCAACCUCGAGACGCCGAUGGAAACCAUGUGACUAGAGUCCGGAAGAGGAGAGUGGAAUUCCUGGUGUAGCGGUGAAAUGCGCAGAUAUCAGGAAGAACACCCGUGGCUAAGGCGGCUCUCUAGUACGGUACUGACGCUGAGACGCGAAAGCGUGGGGAGCGAACAGGAUUAGAUACCCGUGGUA
rnacentral:rRNA from 1 species